rnacentral:rRNA from 1 species
AUUGAACGCUGGCGGCAUGCCUAACACAUGCAAGUCGAACGGGGGCAGCAAUGCCCUAGUGGCGGACGGGUGAGGAAUACGUAGGAACCGGCCCACGAGUGGGGGACAACCUGGGGAAACCCAGGCUAAUACCGCAUACGCUCGCGAGAGGAAAGCGGGGGACCUUCGGGCCUCGCGCUGGUGGACGGGCCUACGUCCGAUUAGCUAGUUGGUGGGGUAAAAGCCUACCAAGGCGACGAUCGGUAGCUGGUCUGAGAGGAUGAUCAGCCACACUGGGACUGAGACACGGCCCAGACUCCUACGGGAGGCAGCAGUGGGGAAUAUUGGACAAUGGGCGCAAGCCUGAUCCAGCAAUGCCGCGUGGGUGAAGAAGGCCUGCGGGUUGUAAAGCCCUUUAAGCGGGAGGAAAGCCGGGGUGUGAAUAGCGCCUCGGGGUGACGUUACCCGCAGAAUAAGCACCGGCUAACUCCGUG